UAGAAGAGGUCCCGCCUGCCCUGUGACUAUAUGUUUAACGGCCGCGGUAUUUUGACCGUGCGAAGGUAGCGCAAUCACUUGUCUUUUAAAUGGAGACCUGUAUGAAUGGCAUAACGAGGGCUUAACUGUCUCCUUUUUCAGGUCAAUGAAAUUGAUCUCCCCGUGCAGAAGCGGGGAUAAAGACAUAAGACGAGAAGACCCUGUGGAGCUUUAGACACUAAGGCAGACCAUGUUAAUAACCCCUAGACAAAGGCUAAAACAAGAUGACCCCUGCCCGCAUGUUUUUGGUUGGGGCGACCGUGGGGGAAAAAAUAACCCCCAUGCGGACCGGGAGGACUUCUCCUAGAAGCAAGAACCACAGUUCUAACUAACAGAACUUCUGACCUAUAAGAUCCGGCUGACGCCGAUCAACGGACCGAGUUACCCCAGGGAUAACAGCGCAAUCCCCUUUGAGAGCCCCCAUCGAUAAGAGGGUUUACGACCUCGAUGUUGGAUCAGGACAUCCUGAUGGUGCAGCCGCUAUUAAGGGUUCGUUUGUUCAACGAUUAAAGUCCUACGU
rnacentral:rRNA from 1 species